GGAAAUGUGCCUGACAACAUUAAGGAGCAUCUUGAUAGGGUGUUACACAUGGGUUAAAAUCCCAUCAUUUCCU
rnacentral:tRNA from 1 species